rnacentral:tRNA from 1 species
GGGGAUGUGCUCAGUGGUACAGUGUUUGCUUGACAUGUAUAAGGCCCUGGGUUCAAUCCUUAGCAUCACCA